rnacentral:lncRNA from 1 species
CAGAUGUCUGUGCCUUGAUCAUUUGGGCUAAUCAGAUACACCUACUUUGAAUUACAUGUCCAAUCAUAUGUCUGCCCUGAACCAUGAUUUAGAACAGUGUAGAAAGCAGCUUGGGACCGGGAGCAGUCACUGUGGCUCUGGAAGCCCAUGUAUGGAGCCAGCAGUGCAGAUGUCCUCCAGCUGGGCCAUCUGUCAUGUGGGAAUCCCAGCAUCUAUCCACGGCACCCUCCCCUCACCACUUCUGCACCUCUCACAGAGUUUGGAGCAGCAUUUCCUCUUCCUUCUGGCCCUGCUGAACACUGCCCUUUAUUUUUCUAAUAAGUUUCUCUUCUGCUUAUACCAGGCAGAAUCCAUUUAUCUCUUGCUUUACAACAAAAGAACCUCAGCUGAUAUGCCUGUUGAUGGGGCAAUUCUUGCCAUCCUCUGGGUCCUCCACAGUCUUCUAAACCCCAGGGGGUCCUUGUUUUUCUUCAUGCAACGCAGCACAUCUGUGAUGAUUUUGUUUGUCUGGUGAUUUACUGACGUCUGUGUCCCUACUUAGAAGCCCAUGAGCAGGGAUGUGAUGGUGAUCUUUCCCAAGG